rnacentral:misc_RNA from 1 species
CUUUUCGGUCCAGUGACAGGAUACUGGAAGAAAAGAAUUUCCGUCCAUCAGUUUCACGAGGAGAUAGUAAAUAUGGAAGGAAUGGUAGGGACAAUAGGGGAUCUUUUGGCCAGAGGAGCCAGAGGGAUUGGAGAACUCAUUCGUGGGAAUUGAACAAUGGGUCUCCAAACGCGCCUGGGAGGCUGCAUGAUGCAAGUACUGUUCAGAGGUCACUUGAUGAUACAGUAAGUUACCCCUCCUCACAUCAUCAUUCUGAAUUUAUGAACACGUGGGAGCAGCUUCACUCAAAAGAUCAUCAUGAUAAUGGUAAGAUGGUUGUUGUCAAUGGGAUGGGCACAGGCCAAAGAGGUGAUAGAGAGAACUCACUGGAUUGGAAACCUCUUAAUAAGUGGACCCGC